rnacentral:rRNA from 1 species
ACCAGACUCCUACGGGAGGCAGCAGUGGGGAAUAUUGCACAAUGGGGGAAACCCUGAUGCAGCGACGCCGCGUGAGUGAAGAAGUAUUUCGGUAUGUAAAGCUCUAUCAGCAGGGAAGAAAAUGACGGUACCUGACUAAGAAGCCCCGGCUAACUACGUGCCAGCAGCCGCGGUAAUACGUAGGGGGCAAGCGUUGUUCGGAAUGACUGGGCGUAAAGGGUGCGUAGGCGGUGUAGCAAGUUAGAAGUGAAAUACCUAGAGCUUAACUCAGGUGCUGCUUCUAAAACUGCUAUACUUGAGUGCAAUAGAGGAAAGUGGAAUUCCUAGUGUAGCGGUGGAAUGCGUAGAUAUUAGGAGGAACACCAGUGGCGAAGGCGGCCUGCUGGACGAUGACUGACGCUGAGGCUCGAAAGCGUGGGGAGCAAACAGGAUUAGAUACCCCGGUAC